rnacentral:rRNA from 1 species
GAUGAACGCUGGCGGCGUGCCUAAUACAUGCAAGUCGAGCGAACGGACGAGAAGCUUGCUUCUCUGAUGUUAGCGGCGGACGGGUGAGUAACACGUGGAUAACCUACCUAUAAGACUGGGAUAACUUCGGGAAACCGGAGCUAAUACCGGAUAAUAUUUUGAACCGCAUGGUUCAAAAGUGAAAGACGGUCUUGCUGUCACUUAUAGAUGGAUCCGCGCUGCAUUAGCUAGUUGGUAAGGUAACGGCUUACCAAGGCAACGAUGCAUAGCCGACCUGAGGGGGUGAUCGGCCACACUGGAAUUGAGACACGGUCCAGACUCCUACGGGAGGCAGCAGUAGGGAAUCUUCCGCAAUGGGCGAAAGCCUGACGGAGCAACGCCGCGUGAGUGAUGAAGGUCUUCGGAUCAUAAAACUCUGUUAUUAGGGAAGAACAUAUGUGUAAGUAACUGUGCACAUCUUGACGGUACCUAAUCAGAAAGCCACGGCUAACUACGUG